rnacentral:snoRNA from 1 species
AAACAAGCCAGUAUCCUAGAGUGCUUGCAAGAACAUUAUGAAACGACUUGAGUCCUUGGCCUGCUCCAUCCAGAGCAAGGUUAUAGAAAUUUCAGACAAUU